rnacentral:rRNA from 1 species
AUUGAACGCUGGCGGCAGGCUUAACACAUGCAAGUCGAGCGGGCGAGGUUGCUUCGGUAACUGAGCUAGCGGCGGACGGGUGAGUAAUGCUUAGGAAUCUGCCUAUUAGUGGGGGGACAACAUCUCGAAAGGGAUGCUAAUACCGCAUACGUCCUACGGGAGAAAGCAGGGGACCUUCGGGCCUUGCGCUAAUAGAUGAGCCUAAGUCGGAUUAGCUAGUUGGUGGGGUAAAGGCCUACCAAGGCGACGAUCUGUAGCGGGUCUGAGAGGAUGAUCCGCCACACUGGGACUGAGACACGGCCCAGACUCCUACGGGAGGCAGCAGUGGGGAAUAUUGGACAAUGGGGGGAACCCUGAUCCAGCCAUGCCGCGUGUGUGAAGAAGGCCUUUUGGUUGUAAAGCACUUUAAGCGAGGAGGAGACUACCGAGAUUAAUACUCUUGGAUAGUGGACGUUACUCGCAGAAUAAGCACCGGCUAACUCUGUGCCAGCCGCCGCGGUAAUAC